rnacentral:tRNA from 1 species
GGAGAGGUGGCCGAGCGGUUUAAGGCACCGGUCUUGAAAACCGGCGUGGGUUAAUAGCCCACCGUGGGUUCGAAUCCCACCCUCUCCGCCA